rnacentral:rRNA from 1 species
AUUGAACGCUGGCGGCAGGCCUAACACAUGCAAGUCGAGCGGAUGAAGGGAGCUUGCUCCUGGAUUCAGCGGCGGACGGGUGAGUAAUGCCUAGGAAUCUGCCUGGUAGUGGGGGAUAACGUCCGGAAACGGGCGCUAAUACCGCAUACGCCCUGAGGGAGAAAGUGGGGGAUCUUCGGACCUCACGCUAUCAGAUGAGCCUAGGUCGGAUUAGUUAGUUGGUGGGGUAAAGGCCUACCAAGGCGACGAUCCGUAACUGGUCUGAGAGGAUGAUCAGUCACACUGGAACUGAGACACGGUCCAGACUCCUACGGGAGGCAGCAGUGGGGAAUAUUGGACAAUGGGCGAAAGCCUGAUCCAGCCAUGCCGCGUGUGUGAAGAAGGUCUUCGGACUGUAAAGCACUUUAAGUGGGGAGGAAGGGCAGUAAGUUAAUACCUUGCUGUUUUGACGUUACCAACAGAAUAAGCACCGGCUAACUUCGUG